rnacentral:rRNA from 1 species
CAGCCGCCACGGUAAUACGUAGGUGGCAAGCGUUGUCCGGAAUUAUUGGGCGUAAGGGCUCGCAGGCGGUUUCUUAAGUCUGAUGUGAAAGCCCCCGGCUCAACCGGGGAGGGUCAUUGGAAACUGGGAAACUUGAGUGCAGAAGAGGAGAGUGGAAUUCCACGUGUAGCGGUGAAAUGCGUAGAGAUGUGGAGGAACACCAGUGGCGAAGGCGACUCUCUGGUCUGUAACUGACGCUGAGGAGCGAAAGCGUGGGGAGCGAACAGGAUUAGAUACCCCCGUAGUCCCUGUCUCUUAUACA